rnacentral:rRNA from 1 species
GCCCGCUCAGAAACUUAAAGGAAUUGACGGGGCCGCACAAGCGGAGGAACAUGUGGUUUAAUUCGAUGAUACGCGAGGAACCUUACCUGGGCUAGAACGCAUUCGGAAUCAGGCCGAAAGGCCUGCGCCAGCGAUGGCCGCUUGCGAGGUGCUGCAUGGUUGUCGUCAGCUCGUGCCGUGAGGUGUCGGGUUAAGCCCCAUAACGAGCGCAACCCCUACUGCUAGUUGCCAGCGGGUCAUGCCGGGGACUCUAGCGGAACUGCCAGCGUAAGCUGCGAGGAAGGUGGGGGAUGACGUCAAAUCAGCACGGCCCUUACGUCCAGGGCUACACACGUGUUACAAUGGCCGGUACAGAGGGCAGCCACCCCGCGAGGGGGCGCGAAUCCCGAAAGCCGGUCCCAGUUCGGAUCGGAGUCUGCAACCCGACUCCGUGAAGCUGGAUUCGCUAGUAAUCGCGCAUCAGCCACGGCGCGGUGAAUACGUUCCCGGGCCUU